rnacentral:rRNA from 1 species
GACGAACGCUGGCGGCGUGCUUAACACAUGCAAGUCGAACGGUGAAGGGGUCUGCUUUUGUGGGCCCUGGAUGAGUGGCGAACGGGUGAGUAACACGUGAGUAACCUGCCCCCUUCUUCUGGAUAACCGCAUGAAAGUGUGGCUAAUACGGGAUAUUCUGGGUCUGUCGCAUGAUGGGUCUGGGAAAGAUUGCGCCUUUGGGUGUUUUUGGUGGGGGAUGGGCUCGCGGCCUAUCAGCUUGUUGGUGGGGUGAUGGCCUACCAAGGCGGUGACGGGUAGCCGGCCUGAGGGGGUGGACGGUCACACUGGGACUGAGGCACGGCCCAGACUCCUACGGGAGGCAGCAGUGGGGAAUAUUGCACAAUGGGCGCAAGCCUGAUGCAGCGACGCCGCGUGAGGGAUGGAGGCCUUCGGGUUGUAAACCUCUUUCGCCAGUGAAGCAGGCCUGCUCCUUGUGGGUGGGUUGACGGUAGCUGGAUAAGAAGCGCCGGCUAACUACGUG